CGCCCGUCGCUCCUACCGAUUGGGUGUGCUGGUGAGGUGUCGGGAUUAGUGGCUGUGGGCGGUUCGCCGCCCUCUGCCGCUGAGAACUUCAUCAAACCCUCCCACCUAGAGGAAGGAGAAGUCGUAACAAGGUUCCU
rnacentral:rRNA from 1 species